AACGAACGCUGGCGGCAUGCCUAACACAUGCAAGUCGAACGAGACCUUCGGGUCUAGUGGCGCACGGGUGCGUAACGCGUGGGAACCUGCCCUUAGGUUCGGAAUAACUCCCCGAAAGGGGUGCUAAUACCGGAUAAUGUCUUCGGACCAAAGAUUUAUCGCCUUUGGAUGGGCCCGCGUUGGAUUAGCUAGUUGGUAGGGUAAAAGCCUACCAAGGCGACGAUCCAUAGCUGGUCUGAGAGGAUGAUCAGCCACACUGGGACUGAGACACGGCCCAGAAUCCUACGGGAGGCAGCAGUAGGGAAUAUUGGACAAUGGGCGAAAGCCUGAUCCAGCAAUGCCGCGUGAGUGAUGAAGGCCUUAGGGUUGUAAAGCUCUUUUAGCCGGGAUGAUAAUGACAGUACCGGGAGAAUAAGCACCGGCUAACUACGUG
rnacentral:rRNA from 1 species